rnacentral:rRNA from 1 species
UCAGCGGCGGACGGGUGAGUAAUGCCUAGGAAUCUGCCUGGUAGUGGGGGAUAACGUCCGGAAACGGGCGCUAAUACCGCAUACGUCCUGAGGGAGAAAGUGGGGGAUCUUCGGACCUCACGCUAUCAGAUGAGCCUAGGUCGGAUUAGCUAGUUGGUGGGGUAAAGGCCUACCAAGGCGACGAUCCGUAACUGGUCUGAGAGGAUGAUCAGUCACACUGGAACUGAGACACGGUCCAGACUCCUACGGGAGGCAGCAGUGGGGAAUAUUGGACAAUGGGCGAAAGCCUGAUCCAGCCAUGCCGCGUGUGUGAAGAAGGUCUUCGGAUUGUAAAGCACUUUAAGUUGGGAGGAAGGGCAGUAAGUUAAUACCUUGCUGUUUUGACGUUACCAACAGAAUAAGCACCGGCUAACUUCGUGCCAGCAGCCGCGGUAAUACGAAGGGUGCAAGCGUUAAUCGGAAUUACUGGGCGUAAAGCGCGCGUAGGUGGUUCAGCAAGUUGGAUGUGAAAUCCCCGGGCUCAACCUGGGAACUGCAUCCAAAACUACUGAGCUAGAGUACGGUAGAGGGUGGUGGAAUUUCCUGUGUAGCGGUGAAAUGCGUAGAUAUAGGAAGGAACACCAGUGGCGAAGGCGACCACCUGGACUGAUACUGACACUGAGGUGCGAAA